CACACCCUGGCGGCGGCUAUAAUGCAGUCGAACGAGUUCUCGUUGAUGAUCGGUGCUUGCACCGAGAUUCAACAUGGAACGAGUGGCGGACGGGUGAGUAACACGUGGGUAACCUGCCCUUAAGUGGGGGAUAACAUUUGGAAACAGAUGCUAAUACCGCAUAGAUCCAAGAACCGCAUGGUUCUUGGCUGAAACAUGGCGUAAGCUAUCGCUUUUGGAUGGACCCGCGGUGUAUUAGCUAGUUGGUGAGGUAAUGGCUCACCAAGGCGAUGAUACGUAGCCGAACUGAGAGGUUGAUCGGCCACAUUGGCACUGUGACACGGCCCAAACUCCUACGGUACGCAGCAAUAGGGAAUCUUCCACUAUGCACGCAAGUCUGAUGGACCAACGCCGCGUGAGUGAAAAAGGCUUUCGGGUCGUAAAACUCUGUUGUUGGAGAAGAAUGGUCGGCAGAGUAACUGUUGUCGGCGUGACGGUAUCCCAACCAGAAAGCCACGGCUAACUACGUGCCAGCAGCCGCGGUAAUACGUAGGUGGCAAGCGUAUCCGGAUUUAUUGGGCGUAAAGCGAGCGCAAGCGGUUUUUUAAGUCUGAUGUGAAAGUCCUCGCUCUUAACCGAUGAAGCGCAUCGAAACUCUGGAGACUCUGUGAGUGCAGAAGAGACACAGUGGAACUCCAUGUGUCCAGCGGUGAAUGUGCGUAUAUAUAUGGAUAAAACACCAGAGCGCAAAGCGCGCUGUGUCUGGCUGUGUAUGUGACUCUGAGCGUCUCUGAAAAGCAUGGGUAGCGAACAGGAUUAGAUACCCUGGUAGUCCAUGCCGUAAACGAUGAAUGCUAGGUGUUGGAGGGUUUCCGCCCUUCAGUGCCGCAGCUAACGCAUUAAGCAUUCCGCCUGGGGAGUACGACCGCAAGGUUGAAACUCAAAGGAAUUGACGGGGGCCCGCACAAGCGGUGGAGCAUGUGGUUUAAUUCGAAGCAACGCGAAGAACCUUACCAGGUCUUGACAUCUUUUGAUCACCUGAGAGAUCAGGUUUCCCCUUCGGGGGAAAUACCCUUUUACACAGGGCCUCUAUUCAGCUCGUGUCGUGAGAUGUUGGGUUAAGUCCCGCAACGAGCGCAACCCUUUCUCGGGUGGAGCACUAAGUGACCAGGGUGUGGUGCAAUUGUUGCAUUGACAAACCGGAGGAAGGUGGGGAUGACGUUGACUAUAAUCUGACAUGGGCUACACAUGUGCUCCAAUGGAUGGUACAACGAGUUGCGAGACCGCGAGGUCAAGGUAAUCUCUUAAAGCCAUUCUCAGUUCGGACUCUAGGCUGCAACUCGCAUACAUGAAAGUCGGAAUAGCAUAG
rnacentral:rRNA from 1 species